rnacentral:rRNA from 1 species
UGGAUUAGCUAGUUGGUGAGGUAAUGGCUCACCAAGGCGACGAUCCAUAGCUGGUCUGAGAGGAUGAUCAGCCACACUGGGACUGAGACACGGCCCAGACUCCUACGGGAGGCAGCAGUGGGGAAUAUUGGACAAUGGGCGCAAGCCUGAUCCAGCCAUGCCGCGUGAGUGAUGAAGGCCCUAGGGUUGUAAAGCUCUUUCACCGGUGAAGAUAAUGACGGUAACCGGAGAAGAAGCCCCGGCUAACUUCGUGCCAGCAGCCGCGGUAAUACGAAGGGGGCUAGCGUUGUUCGGAUUUACUGGGCGUAAAGCGCACGUAGGCGGAUUGGUCAGUUAGGGGUGAAAUCCCAGGGCUUAACCCUGGAACUGCCUUUAAUACUGCCAGUCUU